AGCGCGGUAGAGCAGUUCGGUAGCUCGCUGGCCCCAUAUCUCAGAGGUCACCGGUUCGAGUCCGAUCCGCGCUA
rnacentral:tRNA from 1 species